rnacentral:rRNA from 1 species
AGCGAACGUUAGCGGCGGGCCUAACACAUGCAAGUCGAGCGAGAAAGGGGCUUCGGCCCUGAGUAAAGCGGCGGACGGGUGAGUAACACGUAGGUAAUCUUCCCUCGAGCGGGGGACAACGGUCCGAAAGGACCGCUAAUACCGCAUACGUUUCCGAGGACUCCGGUUCUUGGAAGGAAAGCUAGGCAGCAAUGUCCGGCACUCGAGGAGGAGCCUGCGUCGCAUCAGCUAGUUGGUGGGGUAACGCCUACCAAGGCGAAGACGCGUAGCUGGUCUGAGAGGAUGAUCAGCCACACUGGGACUGAGACACGGCCCAGACUCCUACGGGAGGCUG